rnacentral:rRNA from 1 species
UACGGAGGAUCCGAGCGUUAUCCGGAUUUAUUGGGUUUAAAGGGUGCGCAGGCGGGAGAUUAAGUCGGCGGUGAAAUUUUGCAGCUCAACUGUAAAAGUGCCUUCGAAACUGGUUUCCUUGAGUGUAGAUGAAGUAGGCGGAAUUUGUGGUGUAGCGGUGAAAUGCAUAGAUAUCACGAGGAACUCCGAUCGCGUAGGCAGCUUACUAGGCCAUAACUGACGCUCAUGCACGAAGGCGUGGGGAUCAAACAGGAUUAGAUACCCGGGUAGUCCCU